rnacentral:lncRNA from 1 species
UUUAUAGGUCUUAUGACUGUAUCUGAUAUUCAAACAGGUCUCACUGAGUAUAUAAAAGGAAAAUUCCUUUUAUGGGUCGAUUUAGCGAACCUAAGUAAGGCUGCAUGGAUUUUCUUUUUAAUUUUCCCCUGCUUCCAUUUCAGAGGUCCUGUUGCUACCUGCCCAGUCCUUUUUCUUAAGGUGAAUAAACUGAGGAGCCCUUGGAGAAAAUGACCUGGUCAAUGAAGCAUGGUUGCAGCCUGAGCUUAGAUACAAGGCUUGGAUUAAAUACUGGAUUUGUGAUUCCCUAAGCUUAUGACAUCAGAGUAGUCUCUUUACCUCUGAGCCUCAGCAUCCUCGUUUAGAAGCAUAAAUAAAGACUGUCAUAUCCAUGAGGCCUUACAUAGUUAUGGGAUAAAUGCAAAGUGAAAAACACCUGAUUGGUGCCUGAUACAUGGUAUAAAUUCAACAACUGGAUUUGCUCCCCCAUCACACAGGAGGAAGGAAAACUGAAGGCAAACUAAGCCCCCAGACUCCUAGGCCAGAGCCUUUCAUAUACAAGGCUUCAAGUUCAAACAUUACUGGAGCUAUGUGAUGGCUUCCCAAGGGCUACAGAAACAUAGGUGGUUUUUCAGGGAUUAAUUUUCAGGUUCUCAAGUUCCAUGAGGACUUAGAUUCUCAGGCUUGGAGGCAAGCACCUUUACCUGCUGAAUCAUCUCAUUGGCCCCAAUUAAAACCUUUAAAAAAUAACUUGGUUAUUUGUGGUAAUCCACACUUUAAUCCCAGUACUCGGAAGGCACAAGGAGGAAGAUGUUUCAGAGUUUGAGAAUAGCCACUUGGAGAGAUAACUUCCCUGCACUAAGGUCUGGUUAGCCCCUGUGUGUCAUGUAGCUGAACAGCAGGUACAUUCACUUGUGGAACUAAGAACAAUAACAAAAGAAAUGUGCCAGAUAUGAAGGCUAAAUCAAAUAAACUUUCUAAAAUAGACUUCAGGCUGUGUAAAACUACUUCAGGAUUAAAUUGGCUUGGAACGUAUCUCAGAGGAAAGGGGAGGAGGGAGUUAAGAAAACAUUGACUCAACCAAGGGUGAUGACUCCUGCCUGGAAUCUUUGGAGGUUGAAGCAGUUGGGCCACUACAGAGUCAAGGCUGUCUUGGACUAUAUAGUGAGUUCCAGGCCAACCUGGGUUCAGAAUUGAAAAAAGAAAAGAAAAUGAGAGUUAGAGGAGUUGAGAGUGGGUAAGGUUCUUGAUAUGACCUUUGAAGCAUGAGAACCUGAGUGUAGAUUUCCCAGAACUCCCUUAGAAACCCAGGUAUAGUGACACAUGCCUGUAGCCCCAGUGCUAGAGGGGCAGAGAGGUGGCCCCUGUGAACCCUGGCCAGCUUGUCUAGCCAAGAUGGUGAUCUCACACACAAUUAAGAAGGACAGAGAUAGUGGGAAGAGAAAACAAUGACUCAAAAUUCCCAUGUCCAUAUGGCUGACACCCCAGUGAAGGAACUCACGGUUACUGCAGAGCUUCUAUGGUCUGGGCAUUCUGGGAAUGUUCCAUGUACGGUCACGUCUAGUCCUCCUGUCACUCUUGGUAGUUAAGCUUUCUUCUUCUAAUUAGCUAUCAGAAAACUGAAGAUUAGGAAGGUUAAGUCAUUAAAAUUUGUUCACCACAGCUGAGUGGUCGUACAUACCUACAGUUUGGAUAGCUUGAUAGGCAGAGGCAGGAACAGAAUAUCACUUAAACCCCAGAGUUCAAGGCCAGUCUGGACAACUAGGUGAGAUUUUUUUGUCUCGAGGACAAACAUUAUAGAUCUGCUCACUGAUUUGAAGUAAUCACACAGAUGGGUAAAAAGAAAACCAUCAAUUUGUUAGCUUGCUGUUACACAGAAACCAUAUGAAGAUGUAUAACAUCAAUGCAGUCAGCAAAAAGAUUAGCAGUUGGGCGGGGCGGUGGUGGCACACACCUUUAAUUAAUCCCAGCACUCUGGAGGCAAAAGCAGGCAGAUCUCUGUGAAUUCGAGACCAGCUUGGUCUACUAGAUCUAGUUCUAGGACAUCCUCCAAAGCCAAAGAGAAACCCUGUCUUGAAAACAAAAAACAAAACAACAACAACAAAACAAACAAAAACGGGGAUAGAAAAAAAAGAAUUCUUAUUACUGACUAAUUUGUAGAAACAUUUUCUAAUAUUUUCUGGGAAUAUAAAUAUAGCAGAAGCAAAUUUAUUCACAAACUGCCAAUACUAUUCAACAGAAACCUGUGCUAACAUUAAACGAAUAAACACAGAGAAAUCCUGUCUCAAAAAAUUUUUUUAAUUAAAAAAAAAGUGGGGGGGAGGGGAGGCAGAG